rnacentral:misc_RNA from 1 species
GUAAUGCGAUAAGUAAUGUGAAUUGCAGAAUUCAGUGAAUCAUCGAAUCUUUGAACGCACCUUGCGCUCCUUGGUAUUCCUUGGAGCAUGCCUGUUUGAGUAUCAUGAAAUCUUCAAAGUAAAUCUUUUGUUAACUCAAUUGGUUUCUACUUUGGUAUUGGAGGUCUUUGCAGCUUCACACCUGCUCCUCUUUGUUCAUUAGCUGGAUCUCAGUGUUAUGCUUGGUUCCACUCGGCGUGAUAAGUUAUCUAUCGCUGAGGACACUGUAAAAGGUGGCCAAGGUAAAUGCAGAUGAACCGCUUCUAAUAGUCCAUUGACUUGGACAAUACUUUUAUGAUCUGAUCUCAAAUCAGCUAGGACUACCCGCUGAACUUAAGC